CCCUUAGAUGUCCUGGGCCGCACGCGUGCUACACUGACGCCUACAGCGAGUACUUCCCAGCCCCGAGAGGUGGCUGGUAAUCAGCAAUAGGCGUCGUGAUGGGGAUAGAUCUUUGGAAUUAUGGAUCUUGAACGAGGAAUGCCUAGUAAGCGCAGGUCAUUAGCCUGCGCUGAUUAAGUCCCUGCCCUUUGUACACACCGCCCGUCGCACCUACCGAUUGAAUGGUCCGGUGAAAUCUCGGGACGGCGGCUUGGUCGCUUGCGUCCGACUGCUGAAACUUGAUUAAACCAUAUCAUUUAGAGGAAGGUGAAGUCGUAACA
rnacentral:rRNA from 1 species